UACGGAGGGUGCAAGCGUUAUCCGGAUUCACUGGGUUUAAAGGGUGCGUAGGCGGGUUGGUAAGUCCGUGGUGAAAUCUCCGAGCUUAACUCGGAAACUGCCGUGGAUACUAUCAAUCUUGAAUAUCGUGGAGGUAAGCGGAAUAUGUCAUGUAGCGGUGAAAUGCUUAGAUAUGACAUAGAACACCAAUUGCGAAGGCAGCUCACUACACGGUCAUUGACACUGAGGCACGAAAGCGUGGGGAGCGAACAGG
rnacentral:rRNA from 1 species